UAUUGGGGUGUAAGGUGAAUAAAUUAAUUAAUGAAGAAAAAAGGAAAUCCUAGAAAGAAGGUUCAAGUUCAGACCCCUUUCUCCCCCCUACUCCCCACACCUGCCAUGGUGUUAUUUUAUCCUUUCCAAAAUAAUUGUAUUAAUUAUCUGGGUGUUUAAUAUCUAUUCUGAGCGUAUUCACUUCCUACUCCUUCCCCUAACUCCUAAACCUGCCCUCCUACUCCCUUCAAUGUCAUGUCAUCUUUAAUUUUCUUUAAUAACCACCAAGUCCAGUUUUGUGUCGCCCCAUCAGACACCACACCCUUAAAGAAAACUCACUCUUGGAGCUGGGGAUUUAGCUCAGUGGUAGAGCGCUUGCCUAGGAAGCGCAAGGCCCUGGGUUCGGUCCCCAGCUCCGGAAAAAAAGAACCAAAAAAAAAAAAAAAAAAAAAAAGAAAACUCACUCUUUCCCCUGCAAACAUCAACUGUCUGUGUCUCGUCAGUUACGGAUGGAAUCUCACACUCUCUGCCACUCUAUGAACUUCAUGCUAGAAUGCUGGCUGUCCUGAUCUUGUGUGGGGAGUCAAAGCUGCCUACAACGUUGUGCAGUGUCACUGUCUAGCCCAGAAGACACUGUUUUGUUCCCCUGUCAACGUCUUCUUUUCCCAUGAAUAAACUUUACAUGACCCCGGGUAUGUAAGUAUGUGAAAUAGUUAUGCAAGAAAACGUGUGCUGAUGGUAAAUAAUAAGUAUUUCUUUUAAAAACAAUUCCUUGUUAUGUAUAUGUGGUGGUUUGAAUAGGCUUGGCCGGUGGGAAGUAACACUACUAGGAGGUGUGGCCUUGUGGGAGGAAGUUUGUCACUGUGGGGGUGGGCUUUGAGGUCCUGUGCUCAAGCUCCACCCAGUGGAGAAGAGAGCCUGCUCCUGGCUGCCUACAGAGGACAGUCUCUUCCUGGUUGCCCUCAGAUGAACAUGUAGAACUCUCAGCUCCUCCUGCAUCAUGCUUUACUAGAUGCUGCUAUGCUCCCACCUUGAUGAUAAUGGACUGAGUCUCUGAACCUGUAAGCCAGCCCCAAUUAAAUGUUGUCCUUUAUAAGAGUUGCCUUGGUCAUGGUGUCUAGUUCACAGCAAUGAAACCCAACUAAGAAAACAUACAAUAAUAAUAAUAAUAAUAAUAAUAAUAAUAAUAAUAAUAAUAAUAUUGUCCUUUUUUAAAGGACAAAAUCAAAUCUGUUCACAGAUGUUGUGGUUUGCCCUGAAGUUGCUGUAUUUUGAUGAUAAUUUCACUGCCCCAAGGACAGCUGCCUAGUCGCAUACUCAGGACUCAGGCCACAGAGCAUCUUUCGUGUUCCUCAAAGCUGCUCAGUACUUUGAUGUCUGGCGCAUAAUUGUCAACGCUAGGAACGCAACUUCACUUAAAUGCAUAAAACAAAAUGCCAAGAUUAUGUUUAUGGCCAUUUCAGAAGUUGUUGUCGAGUACCAAUCUCAGGCAAAGCUUCAUCUGUUGAUUUCUGAAACUCGAGGGAGAACUCAGCGGCUUCCAAACCUCAAGCAUUCUGAUACGGUGUAACCUGAAGGUCUAUUAAAUUGAUAUCCACUGAAGAAUAGAGUAGAAAUAUAUCAACAGUCUGUUUUCUGUAAUAAAACCAUU